AGUGAACGCUGGCGGUAGGCCUAACACAUGCAAGUCGAACGGCAGCACAGUAAGAGCUUGCUCUUACGGGUGGCGAGUGGCGGACGGGUGAGGAAUACAUCGGAAUCUACUUUUUCGUGGGGGAUAACGUAGGGAAACUUACGCUAAUUCCGCAUACGACCUACGGGUGAAAGCAGGGGAUCUUCGGACCUUGCGCGAUUGAAUGAGCCGAUGUCGGAUUAGCUAGUUGGCGGGGUAAAGGCCCACCAAGGCGACGAUCCGUAGCUGGUCUGAGAGGAUGAUCAGCCACACUGGAACUGAGACACGGUCCAGACUCCUACGGGAGGCAGCAGUGGGGAAUAUUGGACAAUGGGCGCAAGCCUGAUCCAGCCAUACCGCGUGGGUGAAGAAGGCCUUCGGGUUGUAAAGCCCUUUUGUUGGGAAAGAAAAGCAGCAGGUUAAUACCCCGCUGUUCUGACGGUACCCAAAGAAUAAGCACCGGCUAACUUCGU
rnacentral:rRNA from 1 species